CUUAAAUGAGGAAUGAUCAGCUUAUUAACUAAUCCACUGUUUAGGCUUAAUAAGCCGUUGAUAAGAACCAUGAUUUAUAAACGUUUAUUAGGGGUUUCUUAACUAAUAAGCAGAUUAGACGCGUUAUGUUGGCAUCUUGGCACAUAGACAAAAAAUGGCUGAACAUUAAUUUAAAAAAAAAGUUUGACAGCAACACUAGCGGUAAAUCGUAAAAUCCUGAACAAUGCGAUGUACAAUUUUAACCAGUUUUCUGGGUUAUUAUAUAUUAAAAUAGCCUCUGCAUCACAAAAACAUAUAAAUAAUAUUGCACGGCUGGAAAUUUUACAAAACUUGUUUCAAUAUAUUGUGAGGUAAAGAAGACGGAGUCAAGAAUUGGAGAAAUCACAGCAAGAAAUCGCCGCAAGCCCGCCUGCGCGCCAUCGCCACCGUGAUACCACGGAUUCCAACACAUUUUGUUCUGGUGGCGAAACACGAACGAUAUUGACACUAUUCAUAUCAAAUGAUCGGUGAAGAUAAAUCAGGUUGUGAGUAUUCCAUCAUCAGCUAUUGUCCGGAGCUGGCUACAUAAUCCGGAGGCCACACUGUUCUGGCAUCUAACCAGCCAGCAAAUGAAGUUGGUUGUACUGAAAUAAAG